GCCGAGGUGGCGGAAUUGGCAGACGCGCCGGUCUCAAAAACCGGUGGGGGCAACUCCAUGCGGGUUCGAUUCCCGCCUUCGGCA
rnacentral:tRNA from 1 species